rnacentral:rRNA from 1 species
UACGUAGGGGGCGAGCGUUGUCCGGAUUUAUUGGGCGUAAAGAGCUCGUAGGCGGUUUGGUAAGUCGGGUGUGAAAUCUCCACGCUCAACGUGGAGGGGCCACUCGAUACUGCCAUGACUCGAGUCCGGUAGAGGAGUGUGGAAUUCCCGGUGUAGCGGUGAAAUGCGCAGAUAUCGGGAGGAACACCCGUAGCGAAGGCGGCACUCUGGGCCGGAACUGACGCUGAGGAGCGAAAGCGUGGGGAGCAAAUGGG